AUCUGGUUAUAAAGAAGCAUGUGAAUGCAUUUAGGGUCCACCCAGAUAAUCCAGGAUAAACCUCUCCUUUCAAAAUCCUUAACUUAAUUAACACUUCUUGCC